AUUGAACGCUGGCGGCAUGCCUUACACAUGCAAGUCGAACGGUAACGGGCCUUCGGGUGCCGACGAGUGGCGAACGGGUGAGUAAUGUAUCGGAACGUACCUUUCAGUGGGGGAUAACGUAGCGAAAGUUACGCUAAUACCGCAUAUUCUGUGAGCAGGAAAGCAGGGGAUCGCAAGACCUUGCGCUGAUUGAGCGGCCGAUAUCAGAUUAGCUAGUUGGUGAGGUAAAGGCUCACCAAGGCGACGAUCUGUAGCGGGUCUGAGAGGAUGAUCGGCCACACUGGAACUGAGACACGGUCCAGACUCCUACGGGAGGCAGCAGUGGGGAAUUUCGGACAAUGGGGGCAACCCUGAUCCAGCCAUGCCGCGUGAGUGAAGAAGGCCUUCGGGUUGUAAAGCUCUUUCGGCCGGGAAGAAAUCGUAUCAGCUAAUACCUGGUGCGGAUGACGGUACCGGCAUAAGAAGCACCGGCUAACUACGUGCCAGCCGCCGCAGUAACAC
rnacentral:rRNA from 1 species